GGGGGCGUAAAUGGUUUCGACGGGGGCAAGUUGCUCCUGAGAAGCGAGUCGAGGGGUCCUGGGCCCGCGUUAAAAAACUGGGAAAAAUUAUAAACGCAGACGAUAAUUUCGUUUUAGCUGCCUAAUUAGCGCAGCUCGUCCUACUUGGGAGUCCCACGACCUAAGAUAGGGCGUCAAUUAGUGGGGAACCGAGCUCUACAAAGCUUUGAGUAGAGAACGGAACUUAUGAAGCUACUAAAUCCAGAAACCUGUUUAUCGGUGUCUGGAGGAGGGAAUGGUAAAAGGUAAACUGCACUCGGAGAUGCUCAGGGGUUACUGCUUUCGGACAGGGGUUCGAUUCCCCUCGCCUCCACCA
rnacentral:tmRNA from 2 species